GCGGCGUGCCUAAUACAUGCAAGUCGAGCGGCAGCAUGAUCUAGCUUGCUAGAUUGAUGGCGAGUGGCGAACGGGUGAGUAAUACAUCGGAACGUGCCCUGUAGUGGGGGAUAACUAGUCGAAAGAUUAGCUAAUACCGCAUACGACCUGAGGGUGAAAGUGGGGGACCGCAAGGCCUCAUGCUAUAGGAGCGGCCGAUGUCUGAUUAGCUAGUUGGUGGGGUAAAGGCCCACCAAGGCGACGAUCAGUAGCUGGUCUGAGAGGACGAUCAGCCACACUGGGACUGAGACACGG
rnacentral:rRNA from 1 species